AUUGAACGCUGGCGGCAUGCCUUACACAUGCAAGUCGAACGGCAGCACGGGAGCAAUCCUGGUGGCGAGUGGCGAACGGGUGAGUAAUAUAUCGGAACGUGCCCAGUCGUGGGGGAUAACGUAGCGAAAGCUACGCUAAUACCGCAUACGAUCUACGGAUGAAAGCGGGGGAUCGCAAGACCUCGCGCGAUUGGAGCGGCCGAUAUCAGAUUAGCUAGUUGGUGGGGUAAAAGCUCACCAAGGCGACGAUCUGUAGCUGGUCUGAGAGGAUGAUCAGCCACACUGGAACUGAGACACGGUCCAGACUCCUACGGGAGGCAGCAGUAGGGAAUAUUGGACAAUGGGCGCAAGCCUGAUCCAGCCAUGCCGCGUGAGUGAAGAAGGCCCUCGGGUUGUAAAGCUCUUUUGUCCGGAAAGAAAAGCGCCGGGUUAAUACCCUAGUGUCCUGACGGUACCGGAAGAAUAAGCACCGGCUAACUUCGUG
rnacentral:rRNA from 1 species